CCAGAACCCUAUGAGCUCUGGUUGAAAGUAGUGCUCUAUAAAGGGAACAGGGGGCUAUUUGGGAUGCCUCCAUAGUCUUCUCCAUGUUUUUUUUUUUUGUUGUAUCCUUUGCAUAAUGACCGACAAAACAAAGAAGUGCCUGUUGGCUUGUGCACUGACCACUGUCCACAGAGUUUUGCAAGGGAAAUGUGACCCUCCGGCUUGGCAUGCAAACUCACGGCUACGUUUAGAUGUACAUUUUCACGUGGGCAUCAUCGUUGAGGAUCAGUCAGAGAACAUAGUUUUCAUUCUUUGACGGUUCAGCAGAACGCGUGCCGCUGUUUUCCGUGACCGUGGCUAUAGGUGUUAACACCAAGAAACGGCCGACACAAACACCAUGGAGUUGAAGAGUUGGGUGGCUUUGGCCUCCCUGGUCAGUCUUCUCUGGAGUCCUACUUUUUUCUUAUUUACAGGCGCAGGAAAAAAUGGACAGUCAUGUGACAUGCAUUGUCUGAAUAAGGACAACAAUAUUUUGAUAGUUGACGCUGGCUUCACAGGUACCCUGAAACAAUGUUGUGGAAAUGCAUCUAAAACCAUCGCAGACAUAUUUCAAACGACGUGCAGUGUUUCAUUCAACACUCCUGGUAUUCGCUUUCAGGAAGACGGCAAGGAUGUGGAAUUUUCUGUGCGGGAAGUAAAUAAAUCUCAUCUCCUGUACACGUCAAAGAAGUACGUGAAUGGAUUGUUUGUGUGUGUGAUGGUUGGACGGAAUUGCAGCGAGACACUGGACUCACUCAGGGCAAACAUUACAGCUUACAAUAAGAAAUGGCCUUCCAUCGAGUCUACGACAACCAUCUGCAGUGUCUCCUGUUUCAGCACCUCUGAACAUUGCAGGACAUCCGCAUAUGAUGAAGGAGUCUGCAAAAACUCCAAAAACCAAGAUAAGUUCCUCAUCAACGUAACAGCACCAGGGAGCUUGUGUGUCAACUGUAAUAAACCAUUCAGAAAUAUAUAUUAA
rnacentral:lncRNA from 13 species